UACAGAGGGUGCGAGCGUUAAUCGGAAUUACUGGGCGUAAAGCGUGCGUAGACGGUUAUUUAAGUCGGGUGUGAAAGCCCCGGGCUCAACCUGGGAAUUGCAUUCGAGACUGAAUAGCUAGGGUACGGUAGAGGGAAGUGGAAUUUCCGGUGUAGCGGUGAAAUGCGUAGAUAUCGGAAGGAACAUCAGUGGCGAAAGCGACUUCCUGGACCAGUACCGACGUUCAGGCACGAAAGCGUGGGGGAGCAAACAGGAAUUAGAAACCCC
rnacentral:rRNA from 1 species